rnacentral:lncRNA from 1 species
GCCCUGGGCCAAAGGCAGGCGCUAAACCGCUGCGCCACCCAGGGAUCCCUGAUUUUUAUUUUUUUAAGAUUUAUUCAUUUAUUCAUGAGAGACAGAGAGGCAGGGACGCAGGCAGAGGCAGAAGCAGGCUCCCUGUAGGGAGCUCAAUGCGGGACUCAAUCCCAGGACCCCAGGAUCACGACCUGAGCCAAAGGCAGAUGCUCAACCACUGAGCCACCCCAGUGCCCCUCUGAUCUUGGGUUCAUGAGUUUGAGCCCCAUGUUAGGUAUGGAGAUUAUUAUUAUAAUUAUAAAACAAUUAAAAAUUGUAUUAUGGCCUAGAAUAUUGUCUGUCUUGGUAAAUGUUCCAUGUGCACCUAAGAAGAAUGUGUAUUCUGGCAUUUAGUGGAGUGUUCUAUAAAUGUCAGUUAGGUCAAAUUGGUUGACAGUGUUCUUCAAAUCUGUAUCAUACUGAUUUUCUGUCUAGCUUUCUAUCAAUUACUUGGGAAAAGUGCUAAAAUAUCCAAUUAUAAUUAUGGAUUUGUCUAUUUCUUAUUUUCCUUUUUUUUAUUUUAUUUUUAUGUUUUUAAUAUUUUUUUAUUUUUUUUAUUUUUUUCUUAUUUUCAAUAUAGCCACUUUAGCUUUCAUUUAAUUUUAUUUGUAUGAUAUACAUUUUCCCAUCCCUUUUAACUGUUUCUUUAGAUUUGAGUUUCUUAUAGACAACAUGUGGCUGGGUCUUAGUAUUUUAUCCAAUAUGAUCAUCCUUACCUUUUAAUUGGGUGUUUACAACAUUUACAUUUAAUAUAAUUAUCAGUAUGGUUGAAUUUGAAGCUAUCAUCUAGGCUAUAUAUUUCUUAUUCCAUCUUCUCUGUUACUUCUUUCUUGUCUCCCUGCUCUCCUUUGGAUUGACUAUUUUUCAUAAUUCCAUUUUGUCUCCACUAUUGGUGUAUUAGUUAGUUAUACCUUUAUUUCUUUAGUUGUUGCUCUGGAGUAUAUAUAAUACAUUUUUAAAAAUAUUUUAUUUAUUCAUAGACACAGAGGGAGAGGCAGAGACACAGGGAGAGGGAGAAGCAGGCAGGGAGCCCAAUGUGGGACUCGAUCCCGGGUCUCCAGGAUCACACCCCAGGCUGCAGGCGGUGCCAAACCACUGUGCCACCAGGGCUGCCCUAUAUAAUAUAUUUUAUUUUUUCAUUUUUAUUUUUUAAAGAUUUCAUUUUUUAAGUAAUUUCUAUACCAAAUGUGGAGCUCAAACUCACAACCCCGAGAUCAAGAGUCACAUGCUCUAUUGUCUGAACCAACCAGGUGUCCCUGGAGUAUAUAAAAUACAUUUUAAAUAUCAUUCUACCUUCAAUUAAUAUUUCAUGUGUAGUAUAAGAACAUUAGAGUAAGAAGUGCUCAUUUAAAAAAAAAAAAAAAAAA